UUUUUCAGCUUAAAAAACUCUGAAAAGCUUGCUUGUUUUUCUUCAUUUUUUUUAGAAAUUUCAGUAGUUCUUUAGUUCAAAAGCCAAAAAUAAAUACAAAAACAUUCAAAAAAAGAGGAAAAAAAAUGACUGUUUCAUUAGUUUGAAGUUGAUUUUCAGCUAAAGUUUCUGUGUAUUUGCUGUUUUGGUCUUCAACUUCAAGUUGACUUACUCAAUUUCAAGCAUCUGCUGGGUUAUAGUUAUUGCGUGGGUAUUUUUCGGGUUAUCUACUGGUUUUCAAAAUUUUCUGGGUCAAUUCUUGCAUCCGGAGGCUACUUUGGAUGUUUUCUUUGUUUCAUUCGAAUUUCAAGUGUCUACUGGAUCUCAUUGCUAUUAAUGCUGGGCUGGUCGUCAUUGAUUUUUGCUAUUAGCUGUGCAAACUGUUUCAUCUGCUGCUGACUAGCUGACCUCUCUAUUCUAUCUUGUGGUUUUACAUUUCCAGGUAUUUGCUGUAAAACUCAAUGCUAUGUAGAUCUUCUGCUGGAAAUGAAGUGAAAUCGAGGCUGAAUCUCUGUUGUUG
rnacentral:lncRNA from 1 species